UACGGGGGGGGCAAGCGUUGUUCGGAAUUACUGGGCGUAAAGGGCUCGUAGGCGGCCAACUAAGUCAGACGUGAAAUCCCUCGGCUUAACCGGGGAACUGCGUCUGAUACUGGAUGGCUUGAGUUUGGGAGAGGGAUGCGGAAUUCCAGGUGUAGCGGUGAAAUGCGUAGAUAUCUGGAGGAACACCGGUGGCGAAGGCGUCAUCCUGGACCAACACUGACGCUGAGGAGCGAAAGCCAGGGGAGCAAACGGG
rnacentral:rRNA from 1 species